AAUAGAUGACGUCGUUGACUUUUUGUCACACGUUUGACCAUUCGUUUUAUUCAAAAAAUUUAUGUAAUUAUAAUUUAUUUUGUUGAGUUGUUUUAACACUCAAAGUACUUUAAGCAUGAUUUAUACCUUAUACAUUUGCAUAAAAUUUUUGAAUAAAAUAAAUGGUCAAACAUGUGUUCAAAAGUCAACGGUGUCAUCUAUU
rfam:Oryza glaberrima chromosome 2 Oglab02_0358_6, whole genome shotgun sequence.